rnacentral:rRNA from 1 species
CCUACGGGUGGCAGCAGUGAGGAAUAUUGGUCAAUGGGCGCGAGCCUGAACCAGCCAAGUCGCGUGAAGGAUGACUGCCCUAUGGGUUGUAAACUGCUUUUAUAAGGGAGUAAAGUGCGCUACGUGUGCCUGUUUGUAUGUACCUUAUGAAUAAGGCUCGGCUAACUCCGUGCCAGCAGCCGCGGUAAUACGGAGGAUCCGAGCGUUAUCCGGAUUUAUUGGGUUUAAAGGGAGCGUAGAUGGGUUGUUAAGUCAGUUGUGAAAGUUUGGGGCUCAACCGUAAAAUUGCCAUUGAUACUGGCAGUCUUGAGGACAGUUGAGGUAGGCGGAAUGCGUGGUGUAGCGGUGAAAUGCUUAGAUAUCACGAAGAACUCCGAUUGCGAAGGCAGCUUACUAAACUGCAACUGACAUUGAUGCUCGAAAGUGUGGGUAGCAAACAGGAUUAGAUACCCCGGUAGUC